CCCAGUGAGAUAGGAGGCUGCAAACCCCCCAAUUUGAGUGAAGCUGCGGGGAAGUGAACGGAAAGGCAGUAAAUGCUGUUACUAACUAGAGCUGGUGAGAAGACCCAGCAGAGAUUCCAGUUCAUUCCAGAGGUCAGGUUUUUUUGUUGGGGACCAUCAGAGCCUGGGGAGACAGAGUCUGGUGGAUCUUCGGAAAAAUAGAUGGCGAGCCACCCAAAGAGUGAACUAUUCUUGUGAGAUCUCAUCUUCACUACAAACUGGUGAAGUAACAGGAUAAAAGAUUAAAAGACUUUCUAGUUUUCUUUUUCUAACAAGCACCAGCACUCAUAUUACUUUUGUUUAUUCAUUUAUUUGUUUUCCAAGUUUUCUGAUUGUAUAUGGGUUUUGUGUUUUGUUAUUUCAUUUGAUAUAAAGUGAUAUAGGUGAUAAAGUGAUAUAGGUGAUAAAGUGAUAUAGGUGAUAAAGUGAUAUAGGUGAUAAAGUGAUAUAGGUUAAAACAGAUAUAAGUCAUAUUAAACAAACAAGAGAUAAUCCUAGCUGUCUUAAAUAAUAAUAACCAAUUACAUCUAAAACCAAGAUAAUUAAUACAUCCUAAACUAUAAUAAUUUGAUUAAUUAAGCAUAAUUGAGUACAAUAAUAAUAAUAAUAACAAU